CUUUUUUCUUUCAAGUAUUUUCUAUUGCAAACUGUUUCAGAAAAUCCCUGAUAUGUAAAAGUACAAUAUAUACUUUAAAUUAUGGGAGCAAGUUAAUUAUGUAAAGAAUGAAAUCUCCAGUAAAUUUUAAAUUAUUUAUUUAAAGUCACUAGGUAUGGGGAGAAUUGGUCCAUAAAGUAUAAAUUCUAUGAAAACAACUAAAUCAUUCUGGUAUAAUAAAAAGCUGGAUGGUAUUUACAAUUCACGUUUCUUAAUUAUGAAAUAACAUGCUAACACUUUCAUAAGAUCCAAGAACUUUCUAGAACUAUUAUGUAAAUCUUUUAAAACCACAAAGGAACAACCUAUUUCAGAACUUACAUACAUCAUUUACUAGAAAACCACUAAAGAUGUUUCAAAUCUGAAACUGCCUCCUUCCUUCCAAACUGUAAGAAACAGUACGCUCAUCUUGAAGCUUUUUAAAUUAUUUAAAUUCAUUGCUAAUAUAUUUAUAACUACAUUAAAAAGAGUUUACAAUAUUGGAAAAAGGGCUAUUGUCAUAAUCCACUUUAUUAUGUCUACAUACAUGGUAGCAAACCUAUUACAAGAACAAUUCUAGCCAGUGUGGGGAACAGCAUAGUGAAUGCACUGUUUCCAAGUUCGGCCCUCAGUGACACCUAGGAAAACAUCUAAUUGGAAAGCCUGCUGCUAAAUUAAGUUGGUGCAAAAGUAAUUGUGGUUUUUGCCAUUUUGAGGUGGGUGCAAAAACUGCACCAACCUAACACAUUGUUGAAACAAUUCUAGAACCUUUCAUCCACUGUGUACAGAGACAGAAUAAUAUUUUGAUAUAGUUAUCAACUAAAUUAACAAGCACUUAGCUGGGGUAUCCGCUACCUAAAUAAAAGGAAGCCAAAAGAAACCUCUGUUAAUUCAAAUAAAAACCUGUUUAUAGCCAGUCCUUAUAAUACAAGCCCCUUAAAAGUCCAAUACAGAUUAAUAAUUAACAAUAUCUAGAAAAAAAUACAGGCAAUUUCUGUAAUGACAUGGACUCUAGAAUUUCCUCGAAUGGAUCCAAGUUAAUCAACUGGACACCAGUGUGUAUUGUCACAUUCUAAGUGUGGUAAAGAAUAUUCACUGCUUAAUUUACACUAAGAGCAACAAGAAAUUUUGAGCAGAUGAGAUCAAAUUAAAUGAGUGUUUUAAACAGAAUAUUGAUAUUAGCUUUAGAGGGAGGCUGCCUCCUAGAACUGCUACUAGGAUCAAGGGUUAACAGUUUUGUGCUUGUUUUACCCACCCUAUCUUUUGGGAGAAGGGGCAAGCUAGGGAAUGUGAGGAGUUUUAAAAGAGGGAAGUAGUAAUCCCAAAGAAGUAAAACAGGAAUAGAUGUAGUAUGGAACAGAAAUCAUUGUCAAACUGUUGAAGCCUCCAAACUACUCAAGUUGCAAUUAAUACCAUACAGAAAUUUUUGCCUCUUCUCCAACAAACCCCACUGUUACUCCUUUUAUACCUGUUGACUUGGUAAUAAACCACCAUACAUCUAGUUAAUAAAUGUUGUAAUAUAUUCUGUUAAGUUCAUACUGAUAGCCUGAAUUUUCUUGUUUACAGUAGGGCCAGAAAUGUAUUCACUGCUGUACCACCUUCAAAAAAUGAAAUAAUCUCUUCAUCUAAAACAUUUUUUUUUGAGACAGGGUCUCACUGUCACCCAGGCUAGCGUGCAGUGGCACGAUCACCCUUCACUGCGGCCUCGACCUCCCAGGCUAAAGUGAUUCUCCUGCCUCAGUCUCAAGAGUAGCUGGGACUACAGGUGCGCACUACCACACCCAGCUAAUUUCUGUAUUUUCUCUAGACAGGAUCCCACUGCCCAAGCUGGUCUCAAACUCCUGGGCUCAAGCAAUCCUGCUACCUGGCCUCCCAAAGUGCUGGGAUUACAGGUAUGAGCCACUGCACCCAGCCCUAAAAUAUAUUUCCAACAUUAAAGGAGGGGAGGAAAGAAGGGGAAGGAAAACAAAUAUUUUCUGGACACUUUCUAUUUUUUGACAAUAUUUAAUUGCUCUAAAAAUUUCCAACUAUCUUUAAAACAUGAACUUUUAGGGAUGGGAACUAAUUCUCUUAACCAGUUUUCCCAAAUGUCUCUACAACCACUAAAUUUAAAAUAGUAAAGAUGCCAG
rnacentral:lncRNA from 1 species